AGAGAUAUAGUAUAAAUUUUAAUACAUUUCACUUACACUGAAAUUAUACUCAAAAUAUGAGUUGUCUCUA
rnacentral:tRNA from 1 species